rnacentral:rRNA from 1 species
UACGUAGGUGACCAGCGUUGUCCGGAUUUACUGGGCGUAAAGAGCGCGCAGGCGGUCGUUCAAGUCGAGUGUGAAAGCCCCCGGCUCAACUGGGGAGGGUCACUCGAUACUGAUCGACUUGAAGGCAGGAGAGGGAAGCGGAAUUCCCGGUGUAGUGGUGAAAUGCGUAGAUAUCGGGAGGAACACCAGUGGCGAAGGCGGCCCCCUGGGCCGCGCCUGACGCUGAGACGCGAAAGCGCGGGGAGCGAACGGG